GUGCCAGCCGCCGCGGUAAUACCGGCAGCCCAAGUGAUGGCCGAUCUUAUUGGGCCUAAAGCGUCCGUAGCUGGCCGCGCAAGUCCAUCGGGAAAUCCACCCGCUCAACGGGUGGACGUCCGGUGGAAACUGCACGGCUUGGGACCGGAAGGCGCGACGGGUACGUCCGGGGUAGGAGUGAAAUCCCGUAAUCCUGGACGGACCGCCGAUGGCGAAAGCACGUCGCGAGAACGGAUCCGACAGUGAGGGACGAAAGCUAGGGUCUCGAACCGGAUUAGAAACCCCUGUAGUCC
rnacentral:rRNA from 1 species